rnacentral:lncRNA from 1 species
GCUGAUGAGUGAUCAAACUUCAAAAUCCCAUACACAGUCUGCUUCCUCAAACCCUUCCUGGCACCAACAUCUCUGAGCCGGAGAUGCACGUGCGGCUAAACCAGGACACUUUUGAGAAUGAACUUGGGUGCUAUUGGUAAUCACACCGAGACACAGCAACGUCCGGGACCAACUCAACCCUCAGUCCGCUCAUGGGGCACAGGUUUCCUGGUCCUUCCCUACCCUGACUUCUCUUCUUCUGAUGUUUGGUGGUCUGCAUCCUUUUAAACCACUGUGCUCCCAGAACUGAUUCCCAUAUGUGUCUGCCAUACUGGAAAAUACCAAAUAGGCAAGGAGAUCGUUUCAAUACUGUCUGCUGAACACCUUAAUAGAGGCAAGAGAGAACGCAGAGGAAGAAACAAUGGACUCUUUCUGAGAGAGUGGAAGAUGGCUUCGCAGAGGAGCUGCUGUCUGAGACGGAUAGCAUGAGUAGGAGUUUCCCCAGGCAGGGAAGGUGUUGUUGUUUCUCCUCAGGGUAGAGGGGAGAGCAGGGUUCCCCGUGUGUCUGUUGCUGAAUGUGACUCAUGCUGUUUUCCUGCUUUGAGCCUGCUCUAGGGUGUUAUGGGCAGGAUGGACUUGUCCUGCGUGCUUGUUGUUCCGCCGUGUUUCUGAUCUUCAGAUUUAUCGUAAGGAAGAACAGCCGAUGUACAGGCAGAACUUGACAAAUGAGGCAACAAGCAACUUGAUCUGGGAUCCAUCGUCCUCUAGACCCCAGUAGGAGUCUAAGCACCAGCGUGGUGGCCACCCCAGCAGCCUUGGACCCCUGAAGGCUUGAGCACCAAAGCACACACAGCUGCCUCUGGCUGAGUUCUGUGGUCGCCUGCACCCCCUCCACCUGCUUCCCCCGGAGGAUGGAUCAUGAAGAGUGGAAUUGCUUUUCCUCUUGGGGCAGGCACACCAACAGUGUAUGUGAGGCCCCUGCUCCCACUCCCCAGGCUGGCCAGUACUUUGGGCCAAUCUGCUAGACCCAAAAAUGUUAAUCUCACUGAGAUUUAAUUUGCAUUCCCCUGACUACCGGUGAAGUUGAGCAUCUUUUCAUAUGUUUAUUGACAAUUUGCAUUUCUUAUUCAGUAAAUUACCUGCUCGUAUCCUAGA